rnacentral:rRNA from 1 species
GAAUGUCAAAUUUCUAGUAUGAGAAAUUAACGAUUUAAGUCCUUCUUAAAUGAGGCCAUUUACCCAUAGAGGGUGCCAGGCCCGUAUAACGUUAAUGAUUACUAGAUGACAUUUCCAAAGAGUCGUGUUGCUUGAUAGUGCAGCACUAAGUGGGUGGUAAACUCCAUCUAAAACUAAAUAUAACCAUGAGACCGAUAGUAAACAAGUACCGUGAGGGAAAGUUGAAAAGAACUCUGAAUAGAGAGUUAAAUAGUACGUGAAACUGCUUAGAGGUUAAGCCCGAUGAACCUGAAUAUCCAUUAUAGAAAAUUCAUCAUUAUGAUUUUUAUUAUAAUAAUAGUGUGCAUUUUUUCUAUAUAGGACAUUGUAAUCUAUUAACAAUUUAUCAUAAGAUCUAGCACAAGUUUAUUCAAAUUAUUUUGCGUAUAACAUAGAAUAAAUGCAUUAGAUUUGAUAAAGUGUUGAUAGAUUUAUAUAUAGUGCUUGAAUAAUAUUCUAUAAUAUCAUAUUAAUUAUUAAUUUUUAUGUUCAUUGUAUGCACUUAUAUGAUUAACAAUGCGAAAGAUUCAGGAUACCUUCGGGACCCGUCUUGAAACACGGACCAAGGAGUCUAACAUAUUUGCAAGUUAUUGGGUAAAACCUAAUAGCAAAAUUAACAUAACUUUGGGAUUAGUUUUUAGCCUAUUAAUUCAAUCCCGGGGCGUUCUAUAUAGUUAUGUAUAAUAAUAUUUAUAUUAUUUAUACCUCUAACUAGAACGUACCUUGAGCAUAUAUGCUAUGACCCGAAAGAUGGUGAACUAUACUUGAUCAGGUUGAAGUCAGGGGAAA